rnacentral:rRNA from 1 species
AUGCACGAAAGCGUGGGGAGCAAACAGGAUUAGAUAGCCUGGUAGUCCACGCCCUAAACGAUGUCAACUAGCUGUUGGGGCCUUCGGGCCUUGGUAGCGCAGCUAACGCGUGAAGUUGACCGCCUGGGGAGUACGGUCGCAAGAUUAAAACUCAAAGGAAUUGACGGGGACCCGCACAAGCGGUGGAUGAUGUGGAUUAAUUCGAUGCAACGCGAAAAACCUUACCUACCCUUGACAUGUCUGGAAUUCCGAAGAGAAUUGGAAGUGCUCGCAAGAGAACUGGAACACAGGUGCUGCAUGGCUGUCGUCAGCUCGUCUCGUGAGAUGUUGGGUUAAGUCCCGCAACGAGCGCAACCCUUGUCAUUAGUUGCUACGAAAGGGCACUCUAAUGAGACUGCCGGUGACAAACCGGAGGAAGGUGGGGAUGACGUCAAGUCCUCAUGGCCCUUAAGGGUAGGGCUUCACACGUCAUACAAUGGUCGGGACAGAGGGUCGCCAACCCGCGAGGGGGAGCCAAUCCCAGAAACCCGAUCGUAGUCCGGAUCGCAGUCUGCAACUCGACUGCGUGAAGUCGGAAUCGCUAGUAAUCGCGGAUCAGCAUGUCGCGGUGUAUACGUUCCCGGGUCUUGUACACACCGCCCGUCACACCAUGGGAGUGGGUUUUACCAGAAGUAGUUAGCCUAACCGUAAGGGGGGCGAUUACCACGGUAGGAUUCAUGACU